GGUUUCAUAGCUCAGUUGGUAGAGUAUGAGGCUCUUCAUCUCAGGGUUGCAGGUUUGAGCCACACGGUGGGUGAAAGAUUCCU